CGAAUGCAGUCCCCCUCAUUUCCUGCAGAGGGUGUGAGCUCUGCAGGCCUGACUGCUGCUUUGCACAGCUGGAACUGGGAUUUUUCAGGGCGGUGAGCAAACCCUUACUCAGCCCCCAUCCUGCACGGCAAAGGACAUUUCCCAUUCCCUCCCCAGAACCAGAGGUGGUGUGUGCAUGUCUCGGUGCUCACACAUUCUCACCUGCUGGUUCCUGUCUGUUCUGUGUGUCUGUGUGUGCGCACUCACCAAGUGUGCUUUGACUGCGUGAGGGGAAAGAGGAGGGCCAGGGGGAGGUUGUAGGCAGAAACAGAGACUCCAAUGUUUAGUUUUACAAUCCUGAGCCCAAAAGAAUAGGAAAGACGGAGAUCCUUUUCUUCAGACGAGUCGAAGCCGCAGUUUAUGGAGGCUGGAAAAUGAAGAAGUCCUCUUUGGUCAUUGCUCUUCUGACCCAAGCUCUUCUGGAAGAUUUGUGUUUGGCCAUCAACGCUACCAUCAGUCCCUCUCCGUUCACGGUGGCCCAGGAGGGUCAGAACAUCACUCUCACUUGCAUCGUCUCCCAGCGGCGGCGCAACUCGGCUCUGCCGGUGGUCAAGUGGACCUUUCUGCCCGUGGGGGCAGACCGGCCGGAGGACGAACUCCUCAUCGCCCGGGUCAACAUGAGGAAGGCCCGUUUCUACGGCAACUACACCAAGAGUUUCACGUGGCCCAAGAUGAAGCUGACAGUGGUGAAGCACGGAAAGAUAUUCGAGAUGCUCAUCUUGAACGUGUCGGUGGACGACCGGGGGCUGUACAUCUGCCGGGUGCAGGAGUUUAAAAAACACCAGGACCGCUGGAAGGCCGCGUCCAACUGCACUGCGGCCACAGAGCUCAGAGUCCAUGUUCUACCCGCCGUCCAGGAAAAGGAAAGUCUGUGGAGCUUGUUUGAAGACGUGUACCUGUGUGCCGUGCUGAUCUGCUCCAUUGGUCUGCUGUGCAUGUGCACGUUCACCGUGACCCUAACCUGCCAGUUCAUAAAGGAGAGGCAGAGAUUAAACGACAGUUACCUGUUGGUCAAAAGUCCUCACAACAGCUCAGGGGAGACGGUCAUUAGUGAGGUGAACGUCUCACCUGCCCUUCCCAAAAAGGAGAGAAGAUACAGGAAGAAAAGAACCAAAGGCUUCCAGGAGGAGCUUCCUCCAGAGAUACCUGCCAAAGCUCCCAUCAGAGACAAAACAUGUAAACCCAAACUUUUAAAACCUCAACCAAGAAAAGUUUUGUUGCCGAGGAUCGUGGAGGAGAACCUGACGUACGCAGAGCUGGAGCUGAUUAGACCUCCUCCUGACAUGAAGACGUCCUGCAGCGGCACCGUCUACGCUCAGAUUCUCUUCAAAGAGCAGAAACUAUGAGACCAAACCACUAAUGAAGAAGGAUUUUUUUAUUUAUGCUCUUCGUCGGACUGCUUUGUCUCCAGCUUCUUAAUGACAGUCGGUACUGAAACACCCCCACAAUCACGUCCGCCAGUCUUUUCAUCCGUCGCCAGCUUCAGCUUUACAGCCCAUUAGCAGCAUUUACGUAAACUCCAACGCAGCGUCCCGUGGAGCGGAUCAAAGAGCAGCAGAACGUCCUGUUUGGUUUCUCUUGAUCUGGGAUGUUUCUGUGGACCUGCAGCUCUACUGCCCCAUAAUCACACAUCAGGACUUCUGCUGCCCCGACUUUCCAUGAGCCUGAAAGCUCUUUGGGUUGUUUUUUCCACUGGACUCAGGCACGGGGGAGAACACUAGAGCUUUUUUUCUGAGUGAGCCUGAAACCCGAUCCACCCACUAUCUGAUGUGGACUGUUGUUUUCAAAGGUUGCAGCGAUGAGUUUCUGUGAAAAAUGGGGCAGCUGCUAAAUCCCAAAUGCUGGAAACAAGGAACUAUUGUCAACACGUGUGCUGGCAUUUCCCUCUAUGAGCCCUCACUACGUCAGAUUUCCACAUUUUUACUCUUCUCUUUGCUCUACGAGUCCUGUGUGAAAGGAUGUGACCUCGUGCAUGUGGGCGGAAGGGUCUCAAAACGCGUUCAGACUGUGAAAUGUGAGGUUUUAAACAGGCCAGUUUGAGAGUCCUACCUAACUGCAAGCAUGUGUGAAUGUUCUCCAGAUGCUUGAAUUGACCUCCAUUCCAGCCUUUCUGCUCACGUUCAUGACCUGCAUGUAUGUAUUUUUAGAAAAUGUGUCAAUAAAGUGGAGUUUGGUUGGUGUUUUGCUC